rnacentral:lncRNA from 1 species
AGUGAUUACUCAAGCCCAUUUAAACGAAGCACUUCUGGUGAUGCAUUCAUUGCGAUCAAGGCUUGCGUGCUGAAAGCCGAGACGGCACAAACGCAUGCC